rnacentral:lncRNA from 7 species
AGGAAGCAACUGGCUUUCUGCUCUUUGUAGAUGCAGGCUCCUUGCAAAUCCUAAAUGUGCGGGUUCCCUUGGCGCCGUGCACUCACGGGCCUCCUCCAGUGAGACGGUUUGCUCUGAAUUACACUUCUGGAUGCCUGUAGCGUUGGGAAGUGUCCUGCGGCUGCUGUAGGUUUGGGUACUUAAACAGCUCUCUGAGUCUCACAGGAGGAGGAUGGCUUCUCCCACCACACACUGCCUCACAGUGCUCUUGUCCUGGCCUGACCUGACUGUCAUGAAGCUUGCUAUGGAUUUUGUACCUGCGCUCUGACUGUUGGGCUGCAUCAGAACUUCUCUGCUCAAGAGAACCCGUUUGCAUCGCAGCUGUGAGCAAGUCCAGCUUCUCUUGUGACACACAGAAAACUGUGAUUCAGCUCAGGUAGCUCUCUUCGUUACAUGAUGACAAAAGGGUGAUGUGUUGCUGGCCCGCUGGGAGGCCACCCACGGCCCUCAGUGUCCCAGCAUGUUCCUGUGCAUGUGAACAUCCCUGAGGCUGCUUCCUGGAGAUGUCUGUCACAUCACACGGGCCAGUUCCACUACGUGCCAGUGAUCCAUGCUAUGGCUUUGGUAUUUUCUGCUGGACGUACUUUCCAGUGCAUCCUGGGAGCAUGCUUGUAUUGCCGUAACUGCAUCCCAUGGGCACCCCAAAUCAUUAAUCACCAGUGUGCUCUUUUCCUCUUCUGCUGGUUCCAGACGAGUUCCCAGUUCAUAGCGUAAGUUCCUGCUGUUAAUCCAUAAGCCAUAACCUUUAUAUUGGGUACUGUUCAACACAAUUAGAUUUCUGUUACAUGAUGUUCUUUCCUGCAGUUAAACAUGACUUGCUUUACUUAUGCAGCCAGCCUCAGGUGAGAUUUAAUUGUAACCUUGGGGUUCAAGCUCUGUGCUUGCAUACCACUCUGUGAACCUGCCGGCCCACCAACCCAUCACCCGUACUCAUCUCAAUACAUGAGCAAUCAUCCACAGCUCUCUGCAGCCUUGUUUUGUGGGGCUGAGCACAGAGCAUGCAGCCAGAAGAGUUGUUCAAUGCUGGCAUGGCCAAGCUGAGGCUGAACAUCAGCCCUGUCCAAAGGACCCACUCUUUCCAGAGCAAAGAAACUCUUUCCAUUAGCCAAAGAAUGAAUCCAGGAUGGCUGGGAGUCAGGUCACCCUGACUGCAAUGUAAACAUGGUACCUGCUCUGGUGCAAGCUGCAAUGGAAAACAAAGGCACAAUAGACCAGACAAGGUCAUUACACACAAUUUGAUCCAAUUAUAUAUCU